rnacentral:misc_RNA from 1 species
AAAAUAAUCCUACCCUUUGUGAAUUUGUUUGUUUGAAUAAUUUUUUUUUUAAAAAAUUAUUGGAGUCUUUCCCUUUAGAGUUUGCUUUUGAGUUUGUAAAAGAAUUCGAAAACAUCUAAAGGGGAUGGUCAAUAAUUUUUUUGAAAAAAGACAUUUUUUAAAAUUAAACUUUUGUAUUCAUUUGUCUAAAAAUUAUUUUUAUAAUAUAAAAACAACUUUUGACAAUGGAUCUCUUGGUUCUCGCAACGAUGAAGAACGCAGCAAAAUGCGAUAAGUAGUGUGAAUUGCAGAAUACGUGAAUCAUCGAAUCUUUGAACGCAUAUUGCACUUUUUUAGUUUACUAAAAAAGUAUGUCUGUUUGAGUAUCAGUAAAACAUUCUCAUAAAAAUCAUUGUGUAUUUUUAUGGUUAUGAGUGUUUUACAACGAUACAAGUUGUUUCACUUUAAAUUUUUUUUUAAUAUUGAAAUUUUUCUAAUUUUAAUAAUUAAAAUUGGAUAAAAUUUUCCCGUCAAAAGGAAUAACCUAAACAAUUUUAAAUGAUUAAUUUUAGCAAAAUUUUCGAAAAAAGGAAAAUUUUUAUUAAAAUAACUUGAUCUCAAAUCAGAUAAGAGUGCCCGCUGAACUUAAGCAUAUCAAUAAGCGGAGGAAAAGAAACUAACAAGGAUUCCCUUAGUAACGGCGAGUGAAGCGGGAAGAGCUCAAAUUUGAAAUCUUCAAGGUUUUACCUUGACGAAUUGUAGUUUAAAGAAGUGUUUUCUGCUGAAGUUUUGGUAAAAGUUCUUUGGAAUAGGACAUCAUAGAGGGUGAGAAUCCCGUAUUUGACCAUUAUUUUCAGCUUUGUGAUACACUUUCAAAGAGUCGGAUUGUUUGGGAAUGCAGUCCAAAAUGGGUGGUAAAUUUCAUCUAAAGCUAAAUAUUGGCGAGAGACCGAUAGCGAACAAGUACCGUGAGGGAAAGAUGAAAAGAACUUUGAAAAGAGAGUUAAACAGUACGUGAAAUUGUCAAAAGGGAAGCGUUUGACACCAGUGUUGUUUUCUCGAAAAUCAAUUAAAAAUGGCUCGAUUUUGUAUUGCUGAGACCUUAAAAGCUCACUGUACAUUUUUCGUGUCUUUUUUAAUGCACUUUUCGUUUAACAAGUCAACAUCAGUUUCUUUUGUUGUAAAAGGGUCAUUGGAAGGUGGCUUUCUUUUCGGAGAAAGUGUUUAUAGCCUUUGGCCUCUGCAAUCGAAGAGACUGAGGUCUGCAGCGUAGACUCUUCGGGUUAGAUACAUUUGUGCUAAGUUAUAGCUUUUUAUAGACAACUUGUUGUCUAUAAUUAGUCUUGUAGCUUACUCGCUUAUGCUAUUUUACCUACGCUUAGGAUG